rnacentral:rRNA from 1 species
GACGGGGGAUGCAAGUGUUAUCCGGAAUCACUGGGCGUAAAGCGUCUGCAGGUGGUUUCCUAAGCCCACUGUUAAACCUUGAGGCUCAACCUCAAAUCUGCAUUGGAAACUAGGAGACUUGGGUAUAGUAGGGGUAGAGGGAAUUUCCAGUGGAGCGGUGAAAUGCGUAGAUAUUGGAAAGAACACCGAUGGCGAAGGCACUCUACUGGGCUAUUACUGACACUCAGAGACGAAAGCUAGGGGAGCAAAUGGG